rnacentral:rRNA from 1 species
UGGGGGAUUUUCCGCAAUGGGCGAAAGCCUGACGGAGCAAUGCCGCGUGGAGGUGGAAGGCCUACGGGUCGUCAACUUCUUUUCUCGGAGAAGAAACAAUGACGGUAUCUGAGGAAUAAGCAUCGGCUAACUCUGUGCCAG